AGCAGCCGCGGUAAUUCCAGCUCCAAUAGCGUAUAUUAAAGUUGUUGCAGUUAAAAAGCUCGUAGUUGAAUUUCGGGAUCAGUACGCUGGUCGUGCCUUUGGUAUGCACUGGUGUCACUGGUUCCUCCCUUCUGAAGAACUGUCAUGCCAUUAAUUUGGUGUGGCGGGGAAUCAGGACUGUUACUUUGAAAAAAUUAGAGUGUUUAAAGCAGGCUCGCGCUUGAAUACAUUAGCAUGGAAUAAUGAAAUAGGACGUUUGAUCCUAUUUUGUGGUUUCUAGGAUCGACGUAAUGAUUAAUAGGGAUAGUUGGGGGCAUUAGUAUUCAAUUGUCAGAGGUGAAAUUCUUGGAUUUAUUGAAGACUAACUACUGCGAAAGCAUUUGCCAAGGAUGUUUUCAUUAAUCAAGAACGAAAGUUAGGGGAUCGAAGACGAUCAGAUACCGUCGUAGUCUUAAACCAUAAAACUAUGCCGACUAGGGAUCGGAUGAUGUUAAUUUUUUAAUGACUCA
rnacentral:rRNA from 1 species